rnacentral:rRNA from 1 species
CAGCCGCCACGGGAAUACCGAGGGUGCAAGCGUUAAUCGGAAUUACUGGGCGUAAAGCGCGCGUAGGUGGUUUGUUAAGUUGGAUGUGAAAUCCCCGGGCUCAACCUGGGAACUGCAUCCAAAACUGGCAAGCUAGAGUAUGGUAGAGGGUGGUGGAAUUUCCUGUGUAGCGGUGAAAUGCGUAGAUAUAGGAAGGAACACCAGUGGCGAAGGCGACCACCUGGACUGAUACUGACACUGAGGUGCGAAAGCGUGGGGAGCAAACAGGAUUAGAUACCCCCGUAGUCCCUGUCUCUUAUAC